rnacentral:rRNA from 1 species
UACGGGGGGAGCAAGCGUUGUUCGGAUUUACUGGGCGUAAAGGGCGUGUAGGCGGUCGUGACAAGUCACUUGUGAAAUCUCCGGGCUUAACUCGGAACGGUCAAGUGAUACUGUCGGACUAGAGUACAGAAGGGGCAACUGGAAUUCUCGGUGUAGCGGUGAAAUGCGUAGAUAUCGAGAGGAACACCUGCGGCGAAGGCGGGUUGCUGGGCUGAUACUGACGCUGAGGCGCGAAAGCAUGGGGAGCGAACAGG